GCUUACGGCCAUACCAGCCUGAAUACGAUCUCGCAAGCUAAGCAGGGUUGGGCCUGGUUAGUACUUGGAUGGGAGACCGCCUGGGAAUACCAGGUGCUGUAAGCG
rnacentral:rRNA from 1 species